CCUAUCCCUGUGUGCCUUGCCUCCACGACUCGGCCGCGUCGACUGAAGACCCAGUGUAGGCCAAAACAAACAAGUGAAUAAAUAAAUUUAGACNAAACAAAAAGUUUGUAACGGUAAUUAAAUUUUUAAAAGUUUUUUAAAAAAAGUUAAAAANUUAAAAGUAACCGACCCGAAGGACGACGAACGAAACGUAAGGUUAAGGGUAAAGGAACGAACUAACUUAACUUAAAUUUUAAAGUUUUGGUUUGGUUAGGUACUUUCCCGUUUACCGGGUACUUACGUAGUCGGNCCGACGACGACGUAACGACUAAGUUAAGACACCUCCGCCGGUGGGAGUACGACCGACGUAGGUUAGAACUACGAAAGUAUGGACGGGGCCCGCACAAGCGGUGGAGCAUGUGGUUUAAUUCGAAGCAACGCGAAGAACC
rnacentral:rRNA from 1 species